rnacentral:lncRNA from 1 species
CUUAAACCUCGCUUCUCCCCCAAAGUUAGGGGACUGUCCUGCUCAGAACUGGGCUUGGAUCUCUGACAUGGAGGUUGGUGCAGGGAGCAACGCCGUCCUGCAGAUCCAGAGGGACUGUGCAGGGUGGCGGGUCGGGCGCGGAGGGAGCUGACUCAGGCUGGUUGGGAGACAGGGGAAGCUGCUGACCUGGAGAUGCUGUGCUGACCUAGGAUGGGCCACUGCCCCCGGGAACAAGAUUGAAGAGGAGAAGGUUGGAAAACAACAGGAUGGCCAGGGCAAUCUGGUUCUGCUGACUGCCUGUGCCUGAGAUGCUGAAGGGAGCGCACUCAACUUUGCUGAAGAACAUGCUCUGCCUAGCUGACCCGUGAUCACAUGGCUAUAGUCAGAUUCUCGGGAUUUACAGAACUUCCUAAAUUUCCUAGUGUGCUGGAACAGAAAGUCUUGUGAGGGCAACUGUUGUGUGGAAUGUUAGUUCCUAUUCCCUUGGAAUGAAUUGUUAGAUUUAUGGACGCCUCCGUUUGAAUAGGAAUUUCUAAUAGACACCGCUGUGACCUGAAUCAUCACAAUACAUGGCUGUAUAGCCACAGAAUAAUCUUGGAAUUGGUAUGAACCCGUGUUUGCACAAUCCAAAUAAUUAACCUUUCUUUCCCCUUACCUCUGGUACGUGGGCUAGAGGGAAAGUUGAAGCGUUCAAGAACUCUAAUUAAGUAAGUCUUGAAAUUUCUAAGCCUACAGUAUGAUGUUUUCUAGUUCCAUCCAUUUGCCUGAAAAAUUCUUGAUAUCCUUAUUUUCAAUAGCUGAGCAGUAUUUCACUGUGUAAGUGAACCACAUUUUCUUUAUCCAUUUGUUCAUCGAGGGAUAUCUGUAUUGUUUCCAGAUUCUGGAUAUCAUGAAUGAAGUUGCUCUGAAUGUAGUUGAGUAAGGUGCCUUGUAGUUUGGUGGAACAUCUUUUGGGUAUAUGACCGUGGUAUAGCUGGGUCUUGAGGUAGAACUAUACCCAAUUAUCUGAGGAGCUGCCAAAUUGAUUUCUAUAGUGGUUGUGCAACUUGACACUCCCUCCAGCAAUGGAGGCGUGUUCUCCCUGAUUCACAUCCUUGCCAGCAUGUGCUGUGGCUUGCGUUUUUGAUUUUGGCCAUUCUGCUGGGUGUAAAGUAGAAUCUCAGUCACCUUGGUUUGCAUUUUCCUGAAGGCUAAGAAUGUUGGACCUUUUAAAGGUCUUUCUUGGCCAUUAAAGAUUCCUCUAUUGAGGAAUUCUCUGCUUAGCUCUUUAACCCAUUUUUAAAUUGGCUAUUUGGGUUGUUGGUGUCUACCUUUUUGAGUUCAUUAUAUUUUUUGGGUGUCACCCCCCCCACCCCCAUGAGGCAUAGGGUUGAUGAAGAUCUUUUCCCCUUCUGUAGGCUACCAAUUUUUUCCUAUUGACAGCGACCUUUGCCUUGCAGAAGCUUUUCAGUUUCAUGAGGCCCCAUUUAUUAGUUACUGAUCUUAGUGCCUGAGCUAUUUGGUGUUCUGUUCAGGAGGUUGUCUCCUGUACCAGUGUGUUCAAGGCUACUUUAUACUUCCUCUUGUAUUAGACUUAGUGUAUCUGGUUUUAUGUUGAGGUCUUUGAUCCAUGUGGACUUGAGUUUUUGCAGGAUAAUAAAUUGGAUCUAUUUACAUUUUCUAGAUGCAGACAUCCAGUUAGACAGCUACCAUUUGUUAAAGAUGCUUUCUUUUUCCAUUGGAUGGUUUUUGUCUUCUUAGUAAAAAAAAAAAAUCAAUGUUCAUAGGUGUAUGGGUUUAUUUCAGGAUCUUGUAUUUGAUUCAGUUCAUCAACCUCUCUGUUUCUGUACCAAUAUCAUGCAUUUGUGGUUGUUGUUUUAUUUGUUUGUUUGUUUGUUUGUUUGUUUGUUUUACUAUUCUGUGGUACAGCUUGAAAUCAGGGAUGGUCAUUUUAUUGUACAGGAUUGUUUUAGGUAUACAGUUUUGUUUUGUUUUUUCCAUGUGAAGUUGAAAAUUGUUUUUCCAAGGUCUGUUAAGAAUUAUGUUGUAGUUUUAAUGGGAAGUGCAUUGAAUCUGUAGAUUGCUUAUGAUAAGAUGGCCAUUUUUAUUGUUAAUCUUACUUAUCCAUGACCAUGAGAAAUCAUUCCAUCUUUUGAUAUCUUAGUUAUAUUCCUUUUUCAGAGAGUUGAAGUUCUUGUUUUACAGGUCUUUCAAUUGCUUGGUUAGAGUUACACCAGGAUAUUUUAUAAUAUUUGUGGAUAGUGAGAAGGUAGUUGUUUCCCUAAUUUCUUUGUCAGUCUGUUUACUGUUCAUAUAACUGAGGGCCACUGAUUUUUUUUUUUUGAGCAGAUUUUGUAUCCAACCAUUUUGCUGAUGAUGUUUAUAUGAUGUAGGAGGUCUCUGGUAGAGUUUUGGGGGUCACUUGUGCAUGCUAUCAUAUCAUCUGUGAAUAUCCAUACUUUGAUUUUUUUCUUUUCCAAAUUAUAUCCCCUUCUUGUUGUUUUAUGGCUUUUGCUAGAACUUUAAGUACUAGAUUGAAGAGAUGUGGGGAGAUAGACAGCCUUGUCUUGUCCAUGAUUUUAAUGGAGCUGCUUUAAGUUUCUCUCCAUCUAAUUUGAUGUUGGCUAUUGGCCUGCUGGAUGUUGCUUUUCUUGUGUUUAGUUAUGCACUUUGUAUUCCUGAUCUCUCUAAGGCUUUUAACAUGAAGGGAAGUUGGAUUUUUUCAAAGUUUUUUUUUCAGUAUCUAAGGAGACUAUUAUGAAAUAUUUGCUUGUCUCAAUUUGUUUAUAUGGUGGAUUUAGUUGAUGGGACUUCAUAUAUUGAACCACUCCUGUGUUCCUGGGAUAAAGUCUCGUUCAUCAAGUUGGAUGAUAUUUUUGAUCUGUUCUUGGGUUUGGUUUGUGAGUAUUUAAUUGAGCAUUUUUGCAUCAAUGUUCAUAAAUAAAGUUGGUCUGAAAUAGUCUUUCUGUGUUGAGUCUUUGUGUGGUUUAGGUAUCAGGGUGACCACUGUUAGGUUUGUCUAGAUGAGCUGCAGGCAGGUAGGGAGUUGGAGUAAGAGCUCCAAGGUUCCCCUUUAAAUCCAUAUUUAUGUUCUUCCACUCCCCUAAUUAGAGCUUCCCAGUUCUUCCCAGUUUCCCCCACGAGGUCAUAUGUACCUUCCAUUCUGUCUCUUUAUUUUCUUUUUAAUUAAUUUUUUUUUACGUAUUCAAUUUACAUCCUACUCACUGCCCACUCCUGAUUACCCACAAUCCUCCCACACUCCCCUACCCUUCUCCUCUGAGUUGGUGGAGGUUCCCCGGGUUUGCUUCCCACCCUGGCACUUCAAGUCUUUGUGAGGCUAGGUGCUUCCCACUGAGCCCUAACAAGACAGCCCAGCUAGAAGACCAUAUCCCAGGUACAGGUAACAGGUUUGGGGUAUCCCCCAUUACAGUUGUUCAGGACCCAUAUGAAGUUCAAGCUACACAUCUGCUAUAUAUGUGCAGGGAGGACUAGGUCCACCCCAUGUAUGUUCUUUGCUUGUUGGUUCAGACUCUUAGAGCACCAAGGGUCCAGGUUAGUUGAUUCCGUUGGUCUUCCUGUGGUGUUCCUAUUCACUUCAGGGCCCUUCCUUCCUCCUAUUCUUCCAUAAGGGUCUCCAAGCUCCAUCUACUCCUUGGCUAUGGGUGUCUAUCUGUCUGAGUCAGCUGCUGUGGACCCUCUCAGAGGACAGCGUGCUCCUGUCUCUAUGGUUCAGGAGUCUGAUGGAGGUAGAAGAGAGGUAAGGGGAGAAUCCCAUUCUCUCUCUUAUGCUUCCAAACAGAAUCUCUGCAGGGCUUCUUGGCCUUCAUGACCAUCCGUAUAACAAGGCAGGGCAGGCAGGAAGACAGUUUGCCCAACUCAUUAGCAGUUCUUUGUUUAAAUGGGGAGGAGGGAUUUGACCUACACUUGUUUUUUAUAGGCAUAUUCAUGCACAAGCACAAUUGGAUGAAAACUCUUCUGGUGAUAAUUACUUAAAUCCUAAAUGCACAAUAAAGCAUAUGUAAAUUUCCUAGAGAGACAGUGUUAGCUAAAUACAUAUCAUAUGUGAAUAAAAGGAGACUCAUUGUCAAAUCUAUCAACAUAGGUUUUAUAGAUGAAGUGGAAAAACAGUCUUAAAAUGAAUAAGAAAAACUAAUAACAAGAAGCGUCUUGGAGGAGACACAGUGACAGUAGAGAUUCUAGCCACAGUGAUAGACUAAAGUUCAGCACACUAGCAAUCUGUCCUAACCUUUGUCUGGGAAACCGGUUUUGCAUUCCUUCCCUUGAAGAAACACCCCUCUAGUCCUACAUUCUCGAGCACUUUUAUCAUAAAAACUUAUUGGAGUACAUUAAAGAAUCUUCUGCUCCUGUUGAGAUGAUCAUGAGAUUUUUGUUUCUAAUAUUCUGUCAUUUAUUGCAUAUAUUUACUUGCAUAUUAUGAACCAUCACUGUAUUUAAGGGAUAAAGCCAACUUGGUCAUGGUCAAUAAUGUUUUUAACGUGUGUCUGUAUUUUCUUUGCAAGUUUUUCUUCCCAAUAUAUAUUUUUGAGCAAUUUGGUUCUGACUUCAUUGUGGGUAUUGGCUACUAAAGUUCUUUUGUUGU